GUGCUUACUUUGGCAGCACAUAUACUAGAAUUGGAAUGGUACAGAGAUUAGCGUAGUGCCUGCCCAAGGAGGACACACAAAUUUGUAAAGCAUUCAAUAGUUUA